AUGAGGAUUAAAGUCAAAGCUCGAUCAAGCCUUCUAGAUUGAGGAACUAUGCAACAUACUCUAAGCUUAUCGAAUGACUCCUCGGACUCCUACUAGAGAGACACCCUUCAACCAUAUUUUUGGCACCGAGGCAGUCAUGCCCAUUGAGAUUGGAAUGUCAAUAACUAGGGUGGAACACUAUCAUGAGCAGGAGAAUCUGGGUUGACUUCGAACAAGCU
rnacentral:lncRNA from 1 species